GACGAACGCUGGCGGCGUGCCUAAUACAUGCAAGUCGAGCGAAGUUUUUCUGGUGCUUGCACCGGAAAAACUUAGCGGCGAACGGGUGAGUAACACGUAAAGAACCUGCCUCAUAGACUGGGACAACUAUUGGAAACGAUAGCUAAUACCGGAUAAUAGCAUUAACUGCAUGGUUGAGGUUUAAAAGUUGGUUUUGCUAACACUAUGAGAUGGCUUUGCGGGGCAUUAGCUAGUUGGUGGGGUAAAGGCCUACCAAGGCGACGAUGCAUAGCCGACCUGGGAGGGUGAUCGGCCACACUGGGACUGAGACACGGCCCAGGCUCCUACGGGAGGCAGCAGUAGGGAAUCUUCCGCAAUGGGCGAAAGCCUGACGGAGCAACGCCGCGUGAGUGAAGAAGGAUUUCGGUUCGUAAAGCUCUGUUGUUAGGGAAGAAUGAUUGUGUAGUAACUAUACACAGUAGAGACGGUACCUAACCAGAAAGCCACGGCUAACUACGUG
rnacentral:rRNA from 1 species